UCACUGGUAGUCUAGUGGUUAGGAUUUAGUGCUUUCACCUUUAUGGCCAGGUUCAAUCCCUGGUCUGGGAA
rnacentral:tRNA from 1 species